rnacentral:rRNA from 1 species
GACGAACGCUGGCGGCGUGCCUAAUACAUGCAAGUCGGACGAGUGGCGGACGGGUGAGUAACGCAUCGGAACGUACCGGGUAAUGGGGGAUAACUGUCCGAAAGGGCAGCUAAUACCGCAUAUUAUUCGAGCGGCCGAUGUGGGAUUAGCUGGUGGGGGGGGUAAAGGCCCACCAAGGCGACGAUCCGUAGCGGGUCUGAGAGGAUGAUCCGCCACACUGGGACUGAGACACGGUCCAGACUCCUACGGGAGGCAGCAGUGGGGAAUCUUGCACAAUGGGCGAAAGCCUGACGCAGCAAUGCCGCGUGUGUGAAGAAGGUCUUCGGGUCGUAAAGCACUUUUAUUAGGGAAGCGGUACCUGAAGAGUAAGCACCGGCUAACUACGUGCCAGCAGCCGCGGUAAUAC